AACACGUAUGUUUUUAUUUUGCCUUUUUAUCUUAUGGAUAAAACUGCAUUGAUUUCAGACAAAAUGUCAUACGAAGGGCUAAGAUUGAGGAAGGCUUUAGAUCCGUGAGUUUUUUCCAAGCACUCUGUAACUCACCGUAAUUUGUGCGUACUAAGAAUUAAUUCAUGAAAGAUCAUUUCCAUGCCAUAAACCAUAAUGCGGCUAUGAUUUCGGAUGAACUGGGUCUGGGAGCAGAUAGCCCAGACUACACGCCAAAUUUAUAUGAACGGACAAAUGGUGGACAUGUCUAUAUCUAAUCGUCUCAUCAUGCAGAUCAUAUAUUUGCUGGAAACCAAAUUAAAAUCCGAGAACUACAACGCUGGAAAAAUAAAUCACCAAAUAUUCCCAGCAAAGAGGGGAUCCUCUUCUUUGUAAAUGCUACGGAGUGGGG